rnacentral:rRNA from 1 species
AGGAGGGGGAUAUGGUCAAUAGCCUAACGGCUGAACCAGCAAUUUGGGGGAAUGUAUAGCGAAAGCUAGUUGUGUUAACUAUUAGUUAAUGCAGGAUCGGCUAUGCCGAAUAAAGUUCUAGGUAGAAUAAUGAUGAUGACAAUUUUUUACCUAUAUGUCUUGACCAAAUCACGUGCCAGCAGUCGCGGUAAUACGUGAAAGACUAGUGUUAUUCAUCUUUAAUAGGUUUAAAGGGUACCUAGACGGUAUUUUUAGCCCAAAAUAGGGUACGGAUUUACUAGAGUUUUAUGUGAGGAGGGGAGUACUUAUGGAGUAGAGAUGAAAUUUUUUUAUACUGUGAGGUAACUGGUGGCGGCGAAAGCAACCUUCUAUGUAUAAACUGACGUUGAGGGACGAAGGCUUGGGUAGCAAAUAGGAUUAGAUACCCUAGUAGUCCAAGCAGACAAUUCUGAAUGCCAUAGAUUAGAUUCUUUUUGGUCUAUAAAUGAAAGUGUAAGCAUUCCACCUCAAGAGUAAUGUGGCAACACAGGAACUGAAAUCAUUAGACCGUUUCUGAAACCAGUAGUGAAGUAUGUUAUUUAAUUCGUUAAUCCUCGAAAAACCUUACCACAACUUGAAUAUUAAUAAAAUAAUACAAGCGUUGCACGGCUGUCUUCAGUUAAUGUCGUGAGAUUUUGGUUAACUCCAUUAAAUUAACGUAAACCCUUACUUUAUUUUUUUUUAUAAAGUAGUUCCCCACUAUAUUGGAUAUGAUAAAAGGGAUUAAGACAAGUCAUCAUGGCCUGAAUAUUGUGGGCUAUAAACGGGGC